GGGAACACUCUCACUUAAAGGCUGACUGAUAUGUAACUGGUGAGUGACUUCUACCUCCUGGGAUCAAAUUACACUUUGACUUCAGUUGCUGUCUUAUUUUACAUACUAAAUAACUGCAUCGCUCCUGCUCUCACCUAUAUUCUGGGACGCUGCCAGUACUUUCUUUUACAUUUGCCUACUACUUUGGAGACCAGCUGCGGAUGUGUUUCUGCUUAUUACAACCCUAAAAUUCACUCAUUGCUGAAGUCUCCUUCUACGCUUUUGACCUGAGAUUAUACCGGAGUGUCUGUUACUACUGCCGAAUACUGUGACUGAGGAUGAACUAUUCCUAAAAAGAGUAAUUGACUCAGUAAUCAGGAAACAUGUUCCUGCCGCCAGAGUAUCAAUAAAACCUCGAAGUGGUAAAGGUGGCUAAUAAGUUCUCCUAUGGCUAAUGAAGUCGUAUGAUUAAUCAACUGGAAGUUGACGUUUUAUUUCAAUUAAAUUAUUGAUAACAUGAUUGAUCUUUAUGAUAGGAUAUUCCAGAACUGUGGACAUUUAUGAUGAUUCCAGGACAUUGGACAUGAACUAUUACGAUACCAUAUUGUUCUACAUUUUUUUAAUACCACAAAUUUGAGGAUAUUGUUGAUGUCCGGAAACAGCACUUUGAGCUCACUGCUGUGCUUAUUUGACCAAAGACAUUACGGAUCCUGAUACGUGUAAUGCCAAGUAUAUAAAGGAGGUCCAUGAUAUAAAAGAACUUUAACCAAGGCAUUAUGAUAUGGACUGGAAAAGAUAAAUGUUUAAAUCCUAGUAUUCAAUUUUCAGGAUUAGGAAAAUGUUUUUUAAGUAUAUUGUAUGUGAUUGUAUGUGAUGAUGUAUUCUGUGAUGGAGGUUUAUUCUUUGGCGACCCCGAUGUGAUUAUAACCAUUCAUCUGAUGUUCACCGUCUACAGGUGCGGCCUAUGUUGUAUUUAGAAGACUACUGUCAGACGCAGAAUAGCAAUACUACAUGAAAUGAUUAUUAGCGAACUAUACGUUCCCAGAAAUUCUCCUGAGAUGACAGGGCACAUGGAUAAUGUCCCUGAUCAAAGGGUGGAGCUGUGGAAUACUGUGACUGAGGCAACCUGCUGAAGGCCUAACAGUUAUGUGUGUGCACUACGGGAUAGUACGUAUAUUAUGUAUACAUCCAAUAAGCAAAGGGUUCUCAUAUUCACUAGUAGAAGCAUAACAGAAUCCAUUUUGAUUCUAGCUAGAUGAUAUAGCAAAUUCAUCUUGAACUUUAUACACACCCUGAGAGAAAAACAACUUUGUUGGCUGAGUAUUGUUUCCAACUACGCACUUUCUAAAAGCUCAUAGAGUACAGAUGUAAUUCCUAAUAUGGACACAGUUGAAGCUCACGAGUAUCUUUUUAGUAUUCUUGACAAUUGUCCCAAUAUUGCAUAACUCUAUUGCCUAACAUUGUAUUCCUGAGGUAUGAAAUCAUAUGGGAGGAAUAUACAAAAGGGGCGUAACUGUGUAUUAUAUAAAACUCAUUGUUGAUACGUGUAUGUUGUUGUUAAAUGAUUUGACACAGGACGAGAGAAUGCUACCUCUCCCCUGUAUACGGGCGUGGCCCUUUGAAUAAAUAAUAAUUGAUUUUUAUAAA